UACAUUAAAUAUUCAUACCUACUUUUAUAAGAGUUUCAGAAUAACUUGAGGAUUGUGUAUUCGAUACUAUAGGGCCUAUAGGUAUUAUAAGAUCAAAGGUGGAAGGUGCGAUUCAUCAAAACCGGGGCAGCCAUUGAGAUUAUUUUAUAAAUGGCCGUGCCAUAAGCAACCAGUCGGAUCGGUCCACUGUGGAUUCUACGUCUGCGAGUUCAUGAGAGAGACCGGAAGAUAUGUAACUAACCCUUCUAAGCAACAUGAGUUGGAAAAGGCGAAGAGCGUGA